GUGCUCACUUUGGCAGCACAUAUACUAAAACUGGAAUAGUAUAGAGAAGAUUAGCAUGGCCUCUGCACAAAGAUGACAUGCAAAUUCGUGAAGCAUUUCAUAAUUUA
rnacentral:snRNA from 1 species